GUUUGGAGAGAAGGUGUCACCCCUCUAAGGUGGGGGCCAGGUGUGGGCUUUCAUGUCAUGUUUGGGCAGCAGCUCUGGCCUGGGAUGGGCAGUGAGACCGGUAGGAUGGUCUGCCUUGCAACCCACCCCACAGGUCUCCUUUCUUGUCAAAAUAGAAAACUUUCUUCCUCUAGGCUGCCUGGUGCGGGCAGAGAGGUUUCAGCUGAUCGUAGAGAGGGAUGUGAGAAGCAGCUUCCCUUCCUGGAAGGAGCUGAGCAUGCCAGGCUUCAUCCAGAAGCAGCAGGCCAGAGUCUAUGUCCAGUUCUUUCUGGCUGAUGCUCUGAUCCUGCCUGUGCCCAGACCCUCCCUUCAUUCAGCAACACCCUCAACACCUCAGACAGAUCCCACCGGCCCAGAGGGACCCCACCUAGGACAGAGCCGGCUCUUCUUGCUCUGCCACAAGGAGGCCCUCAUGAAGCGUAAUUUUUGUGUCCCCCCAGGAGCAAGUCCAGAGGUGCCCAAGCCCGUCCUCAGUUUCUGUGUGUUGGGGAGCUGGCUUGGGGGCACCCAGAGGAAGGAGGGGACUGGAUGGGGGCUGCCCGAGCCCCAGGGAAAUGACGACAAGGAUCAGAAGGUUCACCUCAUUUUCUUUGGCUCUUCAGUCCGCUGGUUUGAGUUCUUGCACCCGGGACAAGUGUACCGACUUGUAGCUCCUGGCCCCCCUACACCAAUGUUGUUUGAGAAGGAUGGUUCAUCCUGCAUAUCUCGGCGUCCUCUGGAGUUGGCUGGCUGUGCAUCCUGCCUCACUGUCCAGGACAACUGGACUCUGGAGCUUGAAAGCUCCCAGGACAUCCAAGAUGUGCUGGAUGCAAACAAGGCAUUGCCUGAAUCCUCACUGACCGACCUGCUCAGUGACAAUUUCACAGAUUCCUUGGUGUCUUUCUCCGCUGAGAUUUUGUCACGGACACUAUGUGAACCCCUUGUGGCGUCUCUCUGGAUGAAACUGGGGAACACGGGGACCAUGAGAAGGUGUGUGAAGCUAACGGUCGCGCUUGAGACUGCUGAAUGUGAAUUCCCCCCUCACCUGGACGUAUAUAUAGAAGACCCACACUUGCCUCCCUCACUAGGACUCCUUCCAGGAGCCCGGGUCCACUUUAGCCAGUUGGAGAAAAGGGUUUCCAGGUGAAGAUGUGUAGUGUCACCUGCCUCCUCUUGCUACUGAUGUGGCUUUCUGGAAUGUUCACCCCUGCUUUAACUUUGCUGCAGCGACCCCUUCUCUUUCAUACAGCUUUCCAUAUAUCAGUCUGCCAUUUGUGCCCAGUAUCCUCACGAGGUGUUGCAGGCUGGUCCUCCUCCUAGUCUUCCCCUAGCUUUGGUAGGGCCAUGGCUAGGGUAUGUCCCUCAGGGGGAGUGGCCACUCUGUGGUGCGUGAUCUCUGAGUCCCAGCUUCUAUCCCAAUUUGCCUUGUCUUCCUGGUCACUCACUGUUCCUCUUCCACUUGCAGAUCUCACAACGUUUAUUGUUGUUUCCGGUCAUCCACUUAUGUGCAGGUCCUGAGUUUUCCCCCUGAGACCACCAUCAGCAUUCCCCUGCCCCCCAUCUACCUGGCUGAACUUCGGCAGGGUGGUCAGUCCCCAUUCCAGGCCACUACCUCUUGCCAUAUCGUCUCUG
rnacentral:sRNA from 1 species